AACGAACGCUGGCGGCAGGCUUAACACAUGCAAGUCGAACGCCCCGCAAGGGGAGUGGCAGACGGGUGAGUAACGCGUGGGAACGUACCUUUCGCUUCGGAAUAUUCCCGGGAAACUGGGAGCAAUGCCGAAUACGCCGUAUUGGGAAAGAUUUAUCGGCGAAAGAUCGGCCCGCGUUAGAUUAGGUAGUUGGCGGUGUAAUGGACCACCAAGCCUACGAUCUAUAGCUGGUCUGAGAGGAUGAUCAGCCACACUGGGACUGAGACACGGCCCAGACUCCUACGGGAGACAGCAGUGGGGAAUCUUGGACAAUGGGCGCAAGCCUGAUCCAGCCAUGCCGCGUGAGUGAAGAAGGCCUUAGGGUUGUAAAACUCUUUCGCCGGAGAAGAUAAUGACGGUAUCCGGAGAAGAAGCCCCGGCUAACUUCGUG
rnacentral:rRNA from 1 species